CUGACAGCGACAAUACAGGAGAACUGUAGCAGACGUUCAGAAGUUGCUGCGAAAUUUCCAGAAAUGGCUUGUCAAAUUGCCUUUAGGUUUGGCUGCUCCUCCGCCAACACUGUGAACACCAGGUGUGGCAGUGUUGUUCUUGACUUCAUGAUGAGGUUCAAUCAAAGUGUAGUCGUCAGCAAUGUUUUGAUUCUCCUGUCGGAUGCUGCAAGGCAAGACAAAUUCGGAGGUUUUAAAGUCAAUCCAGACUCAAUUAAACAA